rnacentral:rRNA from 1 species
GACAGAGGAUGCAAGCGUUAUCCGGAAUGAUUGGGCGUAAAGCGUCUGUAGGUGGCUUUUUAAGUCCGCCGUCAAAUCCCAGGGCUCAACCCUGGACAGGCGGUGGAAACUACCAAGCUGGAGUACGGUAGGGGCAGGAGGGAAUUUCCGGUGGAGCGGGGAAAUGCGUGAGGAGAGUCGGAAAGAACACCAACGGCGAAAGCGCUCUGCUGGGCCGAAACUGAACACUGAGA